UACCAGCACCCCGAGUGGUCGGGACGAUUAUUGGGCCUAAAGCAUCCGUAGCCGGUUCUACAAGUCUUCCGUUAAAUCCACCUGCUUAACAGAUGGGCUGCGGAGGAUACUAUAGAGCUAGGAGGCGGGAGAGGCAAGCGGUACUUAGUGGGUAGGGGUAAAAUCCCGUUGAUCCAUUGAAGACCACCAGUGGCGAAGGCGGCUUGCCAGAACGCACUCGACGGUGAGGGAUGAAAGCUGGGGGAGCAA
rnacentral:rRNA from 1 species